ACGAACGCUGGCGGCGUGCUUAACACAUGCCAGUCGCACGGAAAGGCCCUGCUUUUGUGGGGUGCUCGAGUGGCGAACGGGUGAGUAACACGUGAGUAACCUGCCCUUGACUUUGGGAUAACUUCAGGAAAAUGGGGCUAAUACCGGAUAGGAGCUCCUGCUGCAUGGUGGGGGUUGGAAAGUUUCGGCGGUUGGGGAUGGACUCGCGGCUUAUCAGCUUGUUGGUGGGGUAGUGGCUUACCAAGGCUUUGACGGGUAGCCGGCCUGAGAGGGUGACCGGCCACAUUGGGACUGAGAUACGGCCCAGACUCCUACGGGAGGCAGCAGUGGGGAAUAUUGCACAAUGGGCGGAAGCCUGAUGCAGCAACGCCGCGUGCGGGAUGACGGCCUUCGGGUUGUAAACCGCUUUCGCCUGUGACGAAGCGUGAGUGACGGUAAUGGGUAAAGAAGCACCGGCUAACUACGUG
rnacentral:rRNA from 1 species